rnacentral:rRNA from 1 species
UACGUAGGGUGCGAGCGUUAAUCGGAAUUACUGGGCGUAAAGCGUGCGCAGGCGGUUUUGUAAGCCAGAUGUGAAAGCCCCGGGCUUAACCUGGGAAUGGCAUUGGAAACUGGCGGGCUUGAGUGCGGCAGAGGGGGGUGGAAUUCCGCGUGUAGCAGUGAAAUGCGUAGAGAUGCGGAGGAACACCGAUGGCGAAGGCAGCCCCCUGGGUCGACACUGACGCUCAGGCACGAAAGCGUGGGGAGCAAACAGG